rnacentral:rRNA from 1 species
AUACGGAGGUUGCAAGCGUUAUCCGGAUUCAUUGGGUUUAAAGGGUGCGCAGGCGGACUUGUAAGUCAGUGGUGAAAUCCCGGGGCUCAACCUCGGAACUACCAUUGAUACUGCAAGUCUUGAGUUUGGUUGAAGUGGGCGGAAUGUAGCAUGUAGCGGUGAAAUGCAUAGAUAUGCUACAGAACACCGAUCGCGAAGGCAGCUCACUAAACCAACACUGACGCUCAGGCACGAAAGCGUGGGGAGCGAACAGGAUUAGAUACCCUAGUAGUCC